ensembl:lncRNA
GUUCUGAUGCAAUUUCAUGUUGAAUUGAGUAUGCUAUAGUGAAAUGUAAAUACUCCUUUAAUAUUUAUAACAAUUCCUGUGAUUAUUCAUUGCAUUUUUGGAUGAAACUUACGUUUAACUCUGUAGAAGCAGCAUUCUCUAAUGGAGAACUAUCCCAUGGGGAAAUUUCUAGAGAGCUCAACUGAUUAUGGAAUAUUGAGCUGUAGUAAUUAAUUUCCUUGUCUUUCCCCUCAUUUGUCCUUUAGAUGUAGGAAUUCAAAGCUAAUUCAGCCACCACUUUCUUGGUGGUUCCAGUGAAUACAGCUGUUGCUGGUUUGGACAGCUGUGGAGGGGACUAAUAGCUGAAUGAUGAUCUUCUGUAUGAGCUGGUUUUAUGUUCCUUUGAAGCUAUAUUAAAAGACAAUAGUAGAACUUCAAUAAUUUCCUCGCAAGCCCAACUAAUGAUCAUCAAAGAAGUAAAGGUUUGCUAUUGUCACUUUGGAUUCUGCUGAAAUUGCAGGAUAUGUUUUGCACCAUUGCUGCUGCAGAGAAGAGCUCUGGAAGAGCUGUGCCAUGGCAGAUGUCUGAAGGAGAGAUUCCAUAUGGUUAGCUGUUGAUCAGUUUGGCUGCUGGACUGACGGAAGCAUGACAGGCCAUUCUCAAGUUCUUGCAUGAUGUGGCUGUUCUCCAGAGGCCCUCUGGCUGCCUCUGGAUGUGACACCAGCUUUAACUGAAGAAGCCCAACACUUUAGCAAAAAUGUGAGCCUCAGCUGGAAACUUGGCAAGAGAGUUCAAAACUGCUUCUUAAGCUAAGGCUGAGGUGAUUGUUAAACAAAAAGUAGCCUAACAGACAUUUUUUCAUGACUUUUUAUCUUGCAGAGGCUGGCAGAAAGAUUGCAGAAAGAGGAUAGCCUAGGAAGUUGAACUCAAAGCCAAUUUGAAGUCUAAAAUAAUUUGAUGUAUAUAUGGAAUGCAUAUAUAUGCCCAUGCAUAUUUAUAUGUCUGUUGAUGCUUAGCAUUUAAAUUUUUUUUUGGAGGAGGGUUUAUGACAUAGAACCUUUUAAUAGAAAGUGUUUAAUCAUG